rnacentral:lncRNA from 1 species
CAGCGAUGGGCUCCCUUCUCCAGGGAGGAACUGGCAGCAGAAAAUCAACAGGAGUUGUUCUGGUAUUGAGAAUAUAACUGUGCUGCUGGGUAAUGUGCAGACAGUGAAGAUUGAAAGCCUCAAGGACUGAUGUGUCAGGGACAUCCUUGGGUAAGGGGCCAAGGACUGCCUGAUUUUUGGAGAUUAUGGGCACCUCAUCUCACCCAAAAGUAAAAGUUUAAGCCCACAGAAACCUGUUGUGAUGGUAACUGUUCAAUCAUUCAUUAAAGCUGCACCUAGGUAAUUCAGUGUUUUGCAAAUAAAAGGAUUAAAAAGAGAAAACUGAGCCCUUUUUUUUCUGUGUGCUGUGUUAAAACAGAGAUUGGCACCAGCAACCCAGCAAUCCUCCCCCUGCAGGGUGCAGAGAAGGGAAAAUCUCCAUCAGGACUUGUGUGAAACCAAGGAGAAUGUCGGGAGAGUUUACAGUGGCUUCAGAUGGACAUUUCCUAAUAUUGAAAUAGUUACAGUGGAACUGUUAUCCUGGAUGCAGGAGCUACAUUUGACCCAGAGUGACAAGGUGCUGUGGACCCACAUCCGCUACACAGGUGAAAGCACGGAAGGAGCAGCCGUGAACCUGACCGCGGAGUUCGGGCCCAUC